AUUGAACGCUGGCGGCAGGCCUAACACAUGCAAGUCGAGCGGAUGAAGGGAGCUUGCUCCUGGAUUCAGCGGCGGACGGGUGAGUAAUGCCUAGGAAUCUGCCUGGUAGUGGGGGAUAACGUCCGGAAACGGGCGCUAAUACCGCAUACGUCCUGAGGGAGAAAGUGGGGGAUCUUCGGACCUCACGCUAUCAGAUGAGCCUAGGUCGGAUUAGCUAGUUGGUGGGGUAAAGGCCUACCAAGGCGACGAUCCGUAACUGGUCUGAGGGGAUGAUCAGUCACACUGGAACUGAGACACGGUCCAGACUCCUACGGGAGGCAGCAGUGGGGAAUAUUGGACAAUGGGCGAAAGCCUGAUCCAGCCAUGCCGCGUGUGUGAAGAAGGUCUUCGGAUUGCAAAGCACUUUAAGUUGGGAGGAAGGGCAGUAAGUUAAUACCUUGCUGUUUUGACGUUACCAACAGAAUAAGCACCGGCUAACUUCGUG
rnacentral:rRNA from 1 species